rnacentral:rRNA from 1 species
UACGUAGGGUGCAAGCGUUGUCCGGAAUUAUUGGGCGUAAAGAGCUCGUAGGCGGUUCGUCGCGUCGGCUGUGAAAACCUGAGGCUCAACCUCAGGCCUGCAGUCGAUACGGGCGGACUUGAGUACUGCAGGGGAGACUGGAAUUCCUGGUGUAGCGGUGAAAUGCGCAGAUAUCAGGAGGUACACCGGUGGCGAAGGCGGGUCUCUGGGCAGUAACUGACGCUGAGGAGCGAAAGCGUGGGGAGCGAACAGG